rnacentral:rRNA from 2 species
UUCUUCGGAGAGUUUGAUCCUGGCUCAGGACGAACGCUGGCGGCGUGCCUAAUACAUGCAAGUCGAGCGAAUCGAUGGGAGCUUGCUCCCUGAGAUUAGC